UCUCCGUAGGUGAACCUGCGGAGGGAUCAUUACUGAGUGAGGGCUUCGGUCCGACCUCCAACCCUUUGUGAACCAAACUUGUUGCUUCGGGGGCGACCCUGCCGCUACGGCGGUGCGGCGCCCCCGGAGGCCAUUAAACACUGCACCAUUGCGUCGGAGUUAAAGUAAAUUAAGCAAAACUAUCAACAACGGAUCUCUUGGUUCCAGCAUCGAUGAAGAACGCAGC
rnacentral:misc_RNA from 1 species